rnacentral:snRNA from 1 species
AAAAUAUGUGUGCUUUUAA